UACAGAGGGGGCAAGCGUUGUUCGGAGUUACUGGGCGUAAAGAGUGCGUAGGCGGUUUUCUAAGUUGGUGUGAAAUCUCCCGGCUUAACUGGGAGGGUGCGCCGAAGACUGGAAGGCUAGAGUAUGGGAGAGGUAAGCGGAAUUCCUGGUGUAGCGGUGAAAUGCGUAGAUAUCAGGAGGAACACCUGCGGUGUAGACGGCUUACUGGACCAUAACUGACGCUGAGGCACGAAAGCGUGGGUAGCAAACAGG
rnacentral:rRNA from 1 species